UUUGACCUUCAACUUCAAUAAAUUCUUCAUCCGUGAGCUUCAUCAACUUCAAAUUGGCCUCCAAAGGUGUUCUAAUAGACUUACACUCCUCCAUAUUGAAUCAACACUUCUUCAAUAUACUUGCUCUAGCUCAUUGUAAUAGUCUUCUUAGCGCGAUCUCUUACAAAUACCAUUCCUAAACAAUAGUGAAGCUCUCCUAAAUCACUCA
rnacentral:lncRNA from 1 species